AAUGGGUCAGCGACUUAUAUUCUGUAGCAAGGUUAACCGAAUAGGGGAGCCGAAGGGAAACCGAGUCUUAACUGGGCGUUAAGUUGCAGGGUAUAGACCCGAAACCCGGUGAUCUAGCCAUGGGCAGGUUGAAGGUUGGGUAACACUAACUGGAGGACCGAACCGACUAAUGUUGAAAAAUUAGCGGAUGACUUGUGGCUGGGGGUGAAAGGCCAAUCAAACCGGGAGAUAGCUGGUUCUCCCCGAAAGCUAUUUAGGUAGCGCCUCGUGAAUUCAUCUCCGGGGGUAGAGCACUGUUUCGGCAAGGGGGUCAUCCCGACUUACCAACCCGAUGCAAACUGCGAAUACCGGAGAAUGUUAUCACGGGAGACACACGGCGGGUGCUAACGUCCGUCGUGAAGAGGGAAACAACCCAGACCGCCAGCUAAGGUCCCAAAGUCAUGGUUAAGUGGGAAACGAUGUGGGAAGGCCCAGACAGCCAGGAUGUUGGCUUAGAAGCAGCCAUCAUUUAAAGAAAGCGUAAUAGCUCACUGGUCGAGUCGGCCUGCGCGGAAGAUGUAACGGGGCUAAACCAUGCACCGAAGCUGCGGCAGCGACACUGUGUGUUGUUGGGUAGGGGAGCGUUCUGUAAGCCUGUGAAGGUAUGCUGUGAGGCAUGCUGGAGGUAUCAGAAGUGCGAAUGCUGACAUAAGUAACGAUAAAGCGGGUGAAAAGCCCGCUCGCCGGAAGACCAAGGGUUCCUGUCCAACGUUAAUCGGGGCAGGGUGAGUCGACCCCUAAGGCGAGGCCGAAAGGCGUAGUCGAUGGGAAACAGGUUAAUAUUCCUGUACUUGGUGUUACUGCGAAGGGGGGACGGAGAAGGCUAUGUUGGCCGGGCGACGGUUGUCCCGGUUUAAGCGUGUAGGCUGGUUUUCCAGGCAAAUCCGGAAAAUCAAGGCUGAGGCGUGAUGACGAGGCACUACGGUGCUGAAGCAACAAAUGCCCUGCUUCCAGGAAAAGCCUCUAAGCAUCAGGUAACAUCAAAUCGUACCCCAAACCGACACAGGUGGUCAGGUAGAGAAUACCAAGGCGCUUGAGAGAACUCGGGUGAAGGAACUAGGCAAAAUGGUGCCGUAACUUCGGGAGAAGG
rnacentral:rRNA from 1 species